rnacentral:rRNA from 1 species
UACGGGGGGGGGCAAGCGUUGUUCGGAAUUACUGGGCGUAAAGGGCGCGUAGGCGGCCUGCUAAGUCACACGUGAAAUCCCUCGGCUCAACCGGGGGAACUGCGUGUGAUACUGGCGGGCUUGAAUUCGGGAGAGGGAUGUGGAAUUCCAGGUGUAGCGGUGAAAUGCGUAGAUAUCUGGAGGAACACCGGUGGCGAAGGCGGCAUCCUGGACCGAGAUUGACGCUGAGGCGCGAAAAGCGUGGGGAGCGAACAGG